GUGCUUGCUUUGGCAGCACAUAUGCUGAAAUAGGAACAAAAGAAAUACGAUUAGCAUGGCCCCUGUGCGAGGAUGACAUGCAAAUUUUCAAGCAUUCCAUUUUU